CAGGACAUAGUUUAACAAGAAUAUUGGCUUUGGGGGCCAGAGGUGGGGGUUGUACCCUUUGUCCUGA
rnacentral:tRNA from 1 species